rnacentral:lncRNA from 1 species
AUCUUCUUGAGAGUCAGGUUUUGCUAGUCUAUGAAGUGAUAACAUAUUUACCAUACCAUUGCAUCAACUUCAGGAUUAAGGAAGACUGUAUUCACCUGCUGAGGGAGUAAAAUACCAUUACCCAUGAGGAUGCGGGUUUGAUUCCUGGCCUUGCUCAGUGGGUUGGGGAUCUCGCCGUUGCUGUGAGGUGUAGUAUGGGUCACAUUUGCGGCUUGGAUCCCAUGUCACUGUGGCUGUGGCAUAGGCCAACAGCUGCAGCUCCAAUCUGACCCCUAGCCUGGGAACUCCACAUGCCGCAGGUCUGGCCCUAAAAAAGACAAAAAAAAAAAAAAAACACCAAAAACAAACAACAACCAAAAAAACUAUUGAGCAUUUACUAUGAUUUAAGCACUGUAGUAAAAUAUGUGUACAAAAAAAGAAAAAAUAUGUGUACAUAUGCACAUAUUUUCUGUUAUUUCUCUAUAUUAGGUAUACAUACAUCUCAAAUGAGAAUGUAUAUUCUCAUUUAAUUCUCAUAAGAGUAUAUUAAAAGCAUUAUUAUUAUUUUUUAAUAGAUGAGACUGAGCUUCAGGGAGAUUAUAUAAUUUUCUUUAGGUCACACAGCUAUCAAGUGUCAGAGCUGGGACUCAAGUCCAGGUUUGGCUACAAAGCCUAUGCUCUUUGGUGUCCAGCAAUACUUUCCAGCAAACCCUCCCUCCAUUAAAUGUCUUAUUUUGCCAAAUGACAUCCAUUAAUAAAAUUUUAGAUGCAUUCUCAUCAAAAGCAAUUAUACACUGAAUCGAAAACUUUUUGAGAUUAAGAAGUUAAUUGACUAGGGUGGAAGAGAGAGAUGUUCAGGGUAGUGAAAGCAACUGAAAAGAACUGCAGUGGUUCAGGGGAGAAAGAUGAGACCCUAGACUAAGUGGGUGUGCUGGUAAGAAUGGAGGAGAGAAAAAUGGAUAUGAGAUGUUUCUUAGCUCAGGCUGCUAUAGCAAAGUACCAUAGACUAGGUGCUUUAUAAAUAACAUGGUUAUUUCUCAUAGAUCUGGAGGCUGGAAGUCUGUGAUUAGAGUACCAGCAUAGUUGAGUUCUGGUGAGGGGUCUCCACCAGGUGGAGAGCAAAGAGAGGUAGCAAGCUCUCUCGAUUUAUAAAGGCACUUAAUCCCACUCAUGACCUCAUCUAAUCCUAAUUACCUCUCCAAAGCCCUCCCUUCGUAUACCAUCAAAUUGAGGGAUAGGAUUUCAGUGUGUAAAUUUGCGGGGAACACAAACAUUCAGUCCAUAACACAGGUGCCAGUGAAGAUAGUGUGGCCAUUGCUAGUGUUCUGUGCUUCUUGAACUUAUGCAACUCACUCCUUCCUCAGUGCCCCCUGCCUGGAAGAGUCUUCCUCCAGGCCUUUAAAUAGCUGGCUCUUUCUUGUCAUCCGUGUCUCAGCUCAAAUAACACUACUCAUGAUAGAGAAACAUUUCAUUAUCUUGAAAAUUCAUCAAUAAAGGGAGAGAAUUGAGCAUUUAUCCUGCCUUUCCUAGAUGAACUGGGUAACAAAAUAGUAGAUAAAGGGGCAUGUCUUUUUCUAAAGUUAUUGCCAUAAUAAAAAUGAUUAAAAUUAGAAUAUCACCAUUUUGCAAUCCUUGAUAAAACAGAUGGAUAUAGGAGCAUCAACAGCUUCUAAGAUUAUUAAAAAACAUCAGACAUUUUGUCUAUCCUAUAGUCAUACGAAAGGGAUUGGAACUUGAGUUUGACCUAGUCUUUGAUCCAGCUGCCAGUUUGCAGGAAAUACAGACAGGAACUAAACAAUGCUUAUGCAGUUAGCAAAAUACAGAGAUGCUUCAUAAGUCAAACUCAAGUUCUUCCAUAAAAAAAAAAUCACCUCUUAGGCCUUUCUCAACCAUGUUCUCGAAAUUAGUAUCUACUAUCCAAGUUACUAUUCACAUUACCCUGUUUGAUUUUCCCCAUAGCCCUUGUCAUCAACUGAGGAGGUUUCCUUACAUGAGAAGCAAUAUAGCCUAUCAGUUAAGAGAACAAACUAUAGCAUCAGACUGCUCAAAUUCAAAUCUUGACUACUUGGUAGCUAUAUGACCUUAAAAAACUUCAGAGCUAUAGACUUCUGUUUCUCAACUAUAAAACAGGAUUAAUAUCAGUGCCUAUAUCAUAGGGUCAUUAGGAGUAUUGAAUGAAUUAGCAUAUCUAAAGAGCUUGUCACAGUGCCUGAUACAGGCUAAGCAUUAUAAAUGCUAAUACAUAUGUCUUUUUUUUUUUUUUAAUUUCAUUUUUGGCCACUCUGAGGCAUAUGGAGUUUCCGGGCCAGGGAUCAAAUCCGGGCCAGGGAGUUGAGACCUACCCUGCAGCUGUGGCAACGCCAGAUCCUUUAACCCACUGUGCUGGGCCAGGAAUUGAAUCUGCAUCCUAGAGCUGUAGAGACGCUACCAAUCCUGUUGCCCCACAGCAGGAACUCUUGUAUGUAAGUCUUUCUGCACUAUUCCCAGCACCUAAAAGUGCCUAGCAUAUAUAUCACAUGCACAAAAAAUGUUUGUUGAAUGAAGGGCUUGAAUAAAGGUGGCAAAGAAAUAUAGGAAAGAGACAUGUAAAAUCUUUUUAAAAGUUUAUUUAUUUUACAUGGAUUAUUUAAGAUAU